rnacentral:rRNA from 1 species
GCCCGUCGCUCCUACCGAUUGGAUGACUCGGUGAAAUCACCGGAUGCUUACGAGCAGAAAGUGAUUAAAUCACGUUAUCUAGAGGAAGGAGAAGUCGUAACAAGGUAACGGUAGGUGAACCUGCCGUUGGAUCAGUUCUAGUUUUAAUAACUAACACCAACUUCUUUUAUUAAACAAAAACCAAUACAAAAUUAAAAACUAACUUCAUCAAAAACCAAGUCUCUAAGCAAUGGAUGUCUUGGCUCCUCACACGAUGAAGAACGUGGCAUAAUUGUUAAGUAACCGGAGUGCAA